rnacentral:tRNA from 1 species
UCUGAGGUAGUUUAUGUUAAAAUAUAGUGUUGAAAACGCUACGAAAAAGUAAUUUUCUUGGAG